rnacentral:rRNA from 1 species
AACGAACGCUGGCGGCAUGCCUAGUACAUGCAAGUCGAACGAGAUCUUCGGAUCUAGUGGCGCACGGGUGCGUAACGCGUGGGAAUCUGCCCUUGGGUUCGGAAUAACUUCUGGAAACGGAAGCUAAUACCGGAUGAUGACGUAAGUCCAAAGAUUUAUCGCCCAAGGAUGAGCCCGCGUAGGAUUAGCUAGUUGGUGAGGUAAAGGCUCACCAAGGCGACGAUCCUUAGCUGGUCUGAGAGGAUGAUCAGCCACACUGGGACUGAGACACGGCCCAGACUCCUACGGGAGGCAGCAGUAGGGAAUAUUGGACAAUGGGCGAAAGCUUGAUCCAGCAAUGCCGCGUGAGUGAUGAAGGCCUUAGGGUUGUAAAGCUCUUUUACCCGGGAUGAUAAUGACAGUACCGGGAGAAUAAGCUCCGGCUAACUCCGUGCCAGCCGCCGCAGUAAGAC